rnacentral:rRNA from 1 species
GACGAACGCUGGCGGCGUGCUUAACACAUGCAAGUCGAACGGAUCUUCUCUUUGUAGCAAUACUUGGGGUUGGUUAGUGGCGAACGGGUGAGUAACACGUGAGAAACCUGCCCUGAAGACGGGGAUAACUGACCGAAAGGUCUGCUAAUACCCGAUGUCCUCAUGUGAUCGCAUGGUUGUGUGAGGAAAUGGAUUCCGCUUUAGGAGGGUCUCGCGGGCUAUCAGCUAGUUGGUGAGGUAAUGGCUCACCAAGGCGACGACGGCUAGCUGGUCUGAGAGGACGACCAGCCACACUGGGACUGAGACACGGCCCAGACUCCUACGGGAGGCAGCAGUGGGGAAUCCUGCGCAAUGGGCGGAAGCCUGACGCAGCAACGCCGCGUGUGGGAUGACGGCUUUCGGGUUGUAAACCACUUUCAGCAGGAACGAAAUUGACGGUACCUGCAGAAGAAGCACCGGCCAACUACGUGCCAGCCGCCGCCGUAA